UACGAAGGGGGCUAGCGUUGUUCGGAAUUACUGGGCGUAAAGCGUGCGCAGGCGGUUUUGUAAGCCAGAUGUGAAAUCCCCGGGCUUAACCUGGGAAUGGCAUUUGGGACUGCAAGGCUUGAGUGCGGCAGAGGAGACUGGAAUUCCUGGUGUAGCGGUGAAAUGCGUAGAGAUCAGCAGGAACACCCGUGGCGAAGGCGGCCACCUGGGCCUAACCUGACGCUGAGGCGCGAAGGCUAGGGGAGCGAACGGG
rnacentral:rRNA from 1 species